rnacentral:rRNA from 1 species
AGUGAACGCUGGCGGUAGGCCUAACACAUGCAAGUCGAACGGCAGCACAGGAGAGCUUGCUCUCUGGGUGGCGAGUGGCGGACGGGUGAGGAAUACAUCGGAAUCUACUCUGUCGUGGGGGAUAACGUAGGGAAACUUACGCUAAUACCGCAUACGACCUACGGGUGAAAGCAGGGGACCUUCGGGCCUUGCGCGAUUGAAUGAGCCGAUGUCGGAUUAGCUAGUUGGCGGGGUAAAGGCCCACCAAGGCGACGAGCCGUAGCUGGUCUGAGAGGAUGAUCAGCCACACUGGAACUGGGAAACGGUCCAGACUCCUACGGGAGGCAGCAGUGGGGAAUAUUGGACAAUGGGCGCAAGCCUGAUCCAGCCAUACCGCGUGGGCGAAGAAGGCCUUCGGGUUGUAAAGCCCUUUUGUUGGGAAAGAAAUCCAGCUGGCUAAUACCCGGUUGGGAUGACGGUACCCAAAGAAUAAGCACCGGCUAACUUCGUGCCAGCAGCCGCCGUAA